rnacentral:tRNA from 1 species
GGCGAGGUAGCUCAGUCGGUAAGAGCGCAGGAUUCAUAACCCUGAGGUCGAGGGUUCAACUCCCUCCCUCGCUA